CUAUGAGAGCGGUUCUUAAGUCAAAAUGUUCUUAACUCGAGCCGUUCUUAAGUCAAGACCCCACUGUACAACUUUUAAACAGUAAUGUAGGACACCCCUAUGUGUAGUCUUCACCCCCUGGUUCCUUCACACCUGGGAGGAUCAGUGGUUCACAUCAGCCUGCUUAGAGCUGCAGGUUUGUAUGUUAGUCAGCUGAAGACACCUUGGCUGCCACUCAAGACACAAAACUUUAAGGCCAAAUAAGGAGUUGAUACCAUGGUCUCAGGAUCAAAACCCAUGGAAUGGAAUCUUCUGUGAAGAUGCUGACAGUGGGAGGUCUAAGUGGGAACGGCCUGUCUCUGUGCCACCCAGACUUCAUUCCUGGUGGAUUUUCUUUAGGGACUGUUAUGCUUGAAUCUGCUUUCCUGCAUCUUUUGGACAGUCGUGGCCUGCGGCUUGGGGUAAAAACCAAUAUCAAGUACAGCUGGAAUGCAUGGAUGUAGAGGAGCCGUGUCCUCCGAUGAUGGUGGCAAGUCAGCUUUGUUCCUACUCUCAGGAAAUGUCCAAGACUGCCACAAGCCAAACCAUCCUGUGAUGAGAAGAUGAAGCUUAUCACUGUAAAGCGCAUGUGAGUCUGGAACCACCGUUUGGAGGACGUUGGGGACAGCUUGUGAUCUAAACAGGGAUAGAGGUGUUUUUCCGCACCAUUUCAGGGUAAGACGCCUCCAUGGCUCAGAUAGUGGGCCACCCCUGCAGAAGACCCAAACUGUGUAUGCCCUUGACAUCAAAAUCCUCCAUAGUCCAUCCGAUUUUUUUACUUCAGAGCAUUGACGGAUUGCCACAAGGAACAAAUGUCAAUUACAAUUUCAUUAACUGUGCAUGCUGCUCCUAAGGGCAGCCAACCUGAAACAGCUCAGAACUGGUCAAACGAACAUAUUCUAGAACGACAUGUCCUCAAACAAGGUCAUCCACCACAUUUCUGCAUGAGUUGCUGUUCUAGGCAUGCUCCCUCUUCAGUCCUUUUCAAUGUGUGUGGGAAUGAGGCCCCCCAAAGCCUCUUUUCGGUCUGAGAGACGCUGGCCCAACAUGUACAGCAUACAAAGCGCAUUGUCUUACCAUCACUUUCUUGAAGCACCGUUGUUUCCAGUUAUAUGGAGAACUCAGGAUAAGAGAUGAUGCCUCAGCAUACCUAUCACAGUAGGCCAGGGAAUAGCAAUGGCCUUGGCUUAACCAUGGCCAUGCACCACGAUGGCCAGUCACUGUUGCUUCCAGUAGGAGCUGCUAAACGAACCACAUGUCUUCAUUGUGUGAUUUCUUUACUGCAUCAUGUGAAGCUGGCUGCAACUGGUGCUCUGGCUUGUUCAACCUACAAACAACCCACUGUGCGGGCUGCUGUUUUAUCUGCACAUCAUGCGACACAAAGCUCAUGGCUACAGGAAUAACGAUUGAGUGCUGAUGUGAGCCUCAGGCUAUGUCUGUCCUAUUAACUUAAAACUAUUUUAACAGCUCUCCUGUAUCAGCCACGUUGUGAACCCUAGGGAAUGUUGCUUUCAGUUCCCCACCCAAGAGUCCUCUGCUAUAUCACAAAUCUAUAAUCAGGGCUGUAUGCACUUUGCAGAAAGAAAAGAAAAAAUAGGCUAAACUCUGGGAUGUGGUUGAGCCACAUUUUGCACUCUGCUUAAUUAUGCAAAUAUGCAUAAUUCUGUUCUGCAAAAUGUAUUCUGCUUCUGCUAAUUGUGAGAAAAGAGAGGAAGCUAUGUAGAAUACUAAAGUUGUAUAAUCUGGCAACCGCAUUCAGCAACUUCUCUCAUUCUGCAGACUACCAGGCUUUGAAUAAGUGUUGUAUCUUUCAGCCAUGAGGACUAGAAAAUUGAAGCUCUUGGGAAAUUGAAUUCCGUGAUUUAGGUUUAUAUUCCGCCAUUAUGAUUUUUAUCCAAUACUUGCUCAGAAUUGUAAUAAAUAAUUCAACCCUG